GACGAACGCUGGCGGCGUGCUUAACACAUGCAAGUCGAACGGAAAGGCCCUGCUUUUGUGGGGUGCUCGAGUGGCGAACGGGUGAGUAACACGUGAGUAACCUGCCCUUGACUUUAGGAUAACUUCAGGAAACUGGGGCUAAUACCGGAUAGGAGCUCCUGCUGCAUGGUGGGGGUUGGAAAGUUUCGGCGGUUGGGGAUGGACUCGCGGCUUAUCAGCUUGUUGGUGGGGUAGUGGCUUACCAAGGCUUUGACGGGUAGCCGGCCUGAGAGGGUGACCGGCCACAUUGGGACUGAGAUACGGCCCAGACUCCUACGGGAGGCAGCAGUGGGGAAUAUUGCACAAUGGGCGGAAGCCUGAUGCAGCAACGCCGCGUGCGGGAUGACGGCCUUCAGGUUGUAAACCGCUUUCGCCUGUGACGAAGCGUGAGUGACGGUAAUGGGUAAAGAAGCACCGGCUAACUACGU
rnacentral:rRNA from 1 species